GCACUUUCAGUAGGGAGGAAGGUAGUGUAGUUAACACCUGCACUAUUUGACGUUACCUACAGAAGAAGCACCGGCUAACUCCGUGCCAGCAGCCGCGGUAAUACGGAGGGUGCGAGCGUUAAUCGGAAUUACGUGGGACGUAAAGCGCAUGCAGGCGGCCUGUUAAGUCAGAUGUAGAAACGCCCCGGGGCUUAACCUCGGAAUUGCAUUUGAAACUGGCAGGCUAGAGUCUUGUAGAGGGGGUAGAAUUUCAGGUGUAGCGGUGAAAUGCGUAGAGAUCUGAAGGAAUACCAGUGGCGAAGGCGGCCCCCUGGACAAAGACUGACGCUCAGAUGCGAAAGCGUGGGGAGCAAACAGGAUUAGAUACCCUGGUAG
rnacentral:rRNA from 1 species